UACAGAUAACCGGGAAUGUGCGGUUGAAGCGUGCGCGUGUGUCUACGGAAUAUCGAGGAGAUUAAACGAAGCGCGCGCGCGGACCAAAUCGCGCGAAUGCAACAGGCGCGCUCAAACUCUCGAGUGCGUCGAGAACGAUCGCGCGCGUAGAAAUACAUUAAUUAUAAUCCAAAACGACGAGUUGUUGCGAAUAAAUCCCAGCGAGACUUCGCUUGGCGCACUGCCGACUCCUCGGGAUCUCGCAUUCGGCGAUCGUAAAUUUCCUCGGAUUUACUCAAUUAUUUACGACGGACUCGGCAGCUAUUGACGGCAAACGCCACGCGUUCGUUUCGCAGCGGCGCGCUGCGGAGGCGUCGAGAUGCGGGGGCGAUUCGAAAGAGAGCCCGGCAGCGCGGCGUAGGGAGAGCAGAGAAACCAAAGGAUAAGCUACAUGAAACGGACUUUGAUCUCUACCUGGAGGAGGAGAAGGGAAAACGAAUUCAAAGUGAACGAGGAGGGAGGCACGUAGGCUCUUAGCACGAUGCAAUUGAAAUGACGCUAUAUGACAAUAAAAAGUCGGAGUAAAGCGACGAGUGUUGCAUCACAGUCCAGGAUGUCACGAUUCGAGUGUCUCUCUCGGCGCAACUCUCGGCCAGGCGACGCUUAUAGGAUGUUUCGCAGAAAUUUCUUAACCAGCGCGAAACUAGCGAAUUCCAAUAACGACACCAGCGACACCGUAUACCCGCGGGAAGGUUCAACCGCGAACGCGUUCGACGUGCGUGUCUGACGUGUAGGAAGCGACGCUGAAAAUUCUGGAACCUCAAUGGACAAUGACGAUUACCGACCGCCCGACACGGAGACUUCAUUGACUCGGGAACACUGCGUGGCGCCUCAUUCAUGAAUUCCGAGUAUAACCACAAGCAAAUUGGUUUCGCUGCGUACAUUGGCUGACAGCUACGCGUAAUUAUAUACAAAUUGCACAGCCGCGGUGCAUCCACAGUAUGUAUAUCGAAGCUGCCUGACGAUUUUCUUCCCUUCAUGAUUAAAUUUAUUCCUCGUUGACGAUUGCUCGAGGAAAUGUGCAACAUUUAAUGGGUGUGAUUAAGAUGGAUUCAAUUCGCAAUUAUUGUUUGAGCCAGUGUUCCAGUUUGAAAUGGAAUAGACGAGCCGUCAGCUCACCAAUUCUCUCGAGAUGUGAGAAAACAACAGAUCGUGCAGUAUCGAUUAAAUAAUUAACAGAAUAAACAUUAUAUUCCCCAACAGCCUAAGAUGUCUACGCAGGUAAUUGACGAGCCGGCCUUGCGUUCACCGUUGACAGAAGUUGACGAUACGCUUACGUUGAUUCCGCGCGAUAAUUUAGUCUUAUCGAUGGGGGAAGUUUUGUCGACUCUUACCCCGCAAAUUUGAUUUUUGCGAUGACGCCGUGCGCUUAACGAGCCGUACAACUUGUAAUUUGAUUCGUGCGCGCGGAGAGAAGCGAAAUGUAUACAGCUCUCUCGCGCCAAGGGACACAAAUGCCUAUCAAACUCGCGGCGUGACGUCGUCGACGUGCAAUGAGCCACAUCGUCGCGAGAAAGAGAGAAAGAGAGAAAAGUGGGGACAGAGGAAAAAAGAGAGAGCGAGAGAGAGGAUCCUUUUUGAUGAAUUAAGCCGCCACCACCAUUAAGCCCCAUUCAGCCGCGGCAGUUACGGCUGCUAGUACGCAAUUUGCGCCGGUGACGAGUCAUAUAGUCGACUCGAACGUUAAUUGUAAGUGACCGUCAGUGGGCGUCGCAGGAAGCCGCGUGUGGUGCAUGCACUCACGAUGCAAGUAUGAUGAAACCGAAAAAAAUGCUACACCAUUGAGAAAAAUAUAGCAAAACCUUGAUGAAAAAGCAUGUUUCGAUCGACCAGUUUGCCUCCCCCUCUCUCUCUCUCUGUCUGUCUGUCUGUCUGCUGUGUGUGCGCGUGCGCGUGUACGUGUGCGUGCGUGUGUGUGUGUGUGUGUAUCUCUCUCUCUCUUGCGCGCGCGCGGACUAACGUUUCCUUAAACCGCCGACCAUUGGUCGCCAAAUAUCAGUGUCUUGUAGACCAGACUCGUGUUAUGAAUCAAUUUUUGUUCGUCAAUGAUGCGUAUUCCUUUCCCUGGGUUUUCACGAAACGAAUGUAACAGCAGCCAGGGGGCUGCUCUAAUUGUACCUGAAAGCGCUGUCGAAACGCUAAAACCUUUAAACGACGCGGCUCUUACUUUUCCUCCAUUCCAUCGCAUUGGGACAAAUCCGAGCCGAGGAAAAACAUAACGGAAAAGAUUGUACAAUAAGCGAUAUCACGAGUCGAUUCGAAUGAGACGUCCUCUCGUUUCCUCGGAGACAAUUCGACUCCGCAGCGUGACUCUCUUCGUAGGCAUAAUUUCGAUUAAAAACCUAAAGGACUUCCGAUUGAUACUUAACGCGACUUCCAUUUUGUUAUCGAUUUAAGUAAAAAAAGAUACUUGUGUCACACAUUGCAAACGAAUAAAUUCCGGAAAAUUUCUCUAGAAAAAUAAUCCGUCCACUUUUUACCCUAUAAAGAGCGCGAUUUUGUCGUUAUUUUGCGGGCUCGCGAAACAUGCUUUUUUCGACUUAUGCAGACUUCGAGGCAGCUAGUGACGAUCGAAUAAUUCAACGAUUGAAGUUACUCAAUUGUUGGGGUGAUUAUUCGACGCUACGUCAACGAUGUCAAAGAUAAGUGAGCGCUUGCGAUUUACACGUGCCGGUCGACUCGACAGACGCGUGCGCGUGUAACGAAGGAAGCAUAAAGGCACGAUAUGAAUAAUGUAGGCUUAUGUAACCUCCUGUGUCAGCAAGAGAAUGUUAUAAAUAGCCCUUGUCACGACCGAUACAGAGAUUCUUCGACAAACGUGACGUAUC